UUCUCUCUUUCUUUCAAGUUUCGCUCUGUUGUCCAGUCUAUUCUCCAAACAGCAGCCAGAGUGAUUGUUUCAAAAUAUUAAUUGGAUCACAUCCCUUCUCAAUUGAAAACCUUCCAGUGAUUCUACCUCAGAAUCAAAGCCAAAGUCCUCACCGUGGCCCCAAGGCCCUGCGUGAACUGGCCCCCGUUGCUUCUCUGACCUCAUCUCCUGCCACCCCAAUCCCCCAGUGGGCUCCAGCCACACUCCCUUCUUGCUCUUCCUCAAAUACAUCAAGCUCCUUCCUGCUUCAAGGGCUUUGUCCUUUGUUGUUGCCUCUCCUGGGGACACUUUUCCCUACCUCCUCCAUGCCAGACCUCCACCUGACACCUCCAGCUCAGGUGUCACCGCCUCAGGGAGGCCUCCCCUGACUGCCAUCUAUUGAAACUCCAUCCUCAGUCAUUACAACAUCCUGUGUUGAUUUCCUCCAGGACAGCCGGAUUUUACUGUUACUGGUUUUGUCUGUCUCACCAUUAAAAUGCAAGCUCUAUAAGGCAGGGACCUUGUCUCCCUCUCUUUUUUUCCCCCCCCCUCUAGAACUGUAUUCCCUAGGAAUUAAAACAGCCCUGGCACAGAAUCAGCUCUCAAUAAAUCUUCCUGUAAUGCAAUGAGAACAGCAAGUGGGCUUUCUCCCUAGGCGCACAGGGGAUACUGCAGUUGUCCUGAGGGAAUGAGUUCUUUUUGUUUAUUGUUUUUUUUUUUUUUUUGAGAACAGUCUCACUCUGUCCCCCAGGCUGGAGUGCAGUGGCAAGAUCUCGGCUCACUGCAAUCUCGGCUCACUGCAACCUCCGCCUCCCAGGUUCAAGCGAUUACUCCUGCCUCAGCCUCCUGAGUAGCUGGGAUUACAGGCAUGCGCCACCAUGCCCGGCUAAUUUUCAUAUUUUCAGCAGAGAUGGGGUUUCUCCAUGUUGGCCAGGCUGGCCUCAAACUCCUGGCCUCAGGUGAUCUGCCCGCCUCGGCCUCCCAAAGUGCUGGGAUUACAGGUGUGAGCCAGUGCACCUGGCCGGAAAUGAGGUCUUAUUGUAAUGCAAGGAGAACCUCUUCCUUCAGCAGGUGGAGGUGUGCUGAGGGGACCACAUUCCCAGCAUUCAGUGGGGCACAGAUGGAGCUGUGAAGAUCAUUCUUUCUUCCAUCCAGGGGCAGCACGGGGACUACAUUUCC
rnacentral:lncRNA from 1 species